AAGUGUUGAAGGUGAAAAAAAUUUACUUUCGAGCAACGAGUAUAUAUUUUUUAGUAGAAAAUUUGUUCUUGAAAGCAGAUGCUUUUCUGGUGGUGGCGAGGAAACUCCGUUAAAAGGUCGUAGUUUCAUUUUGCUGCCUCAAAAAAGGUGAGAGCUGCAUCAGUUGUUUUGAUGGAAUAACUUCCAGAGUUUUCUUUUCUCUACCAAAGGAUAAACAAGACUUUAUCUUGAACUCAUGUGUUAAAACUGCAAAAGGUGAUGAGGUUCCGAAUGUUAGAUCAGCUGUUUGUUGUGCUAUUGGUGUAAUUGCUUGUUUUCCACACAUUUUACAAAGUGCAGAGAUUUUUGACAAGUUCAUUUCUCCUGUUGUGGACAAUAGUCAUGAUUCUUCGGUGUCGGUUCGCAUAACAGCCUCAUAGGCUUUAGCUAAUAUAUGUGAUGCACUUUGCCACCAUGUUGAUGUACAUGGAUUUGAGAAAUUCUCUUCAGGUCCUGUUAAUUUCUGAAUGAUUUUAGAUCUGUUUAUUGUGUAACAAUACUUUCAGAUGUCUUAUUGUUCUUCUAUAUGAAUGAUUCAACAAUGAGCUCACAGUCUAUAUCCUUGCUGAUUGACUGUGCUCUACAACUUACGAACGAUAAUGACAAGGUAAGCUAUGUUGUUAAGCUAUAUCGGCAAGUUUCAGUUCUUCUUUUGACAUUUUUUUGUCAUGUUAGUGAUUGUAUUCUAAAAUUUACUUCUCAUGUUUUUGAUAUCAAGUCAAAGAAAAUGCUGUGAGAGCAUUGGCUAAUCUUUCAAGAUUUGUUAGGUUUUCAAGUCAAUCAUUUGCUUAUAACAGGCAAGCAAAUUCAAUGGUCAUAUCUUCUGGGAGAAAACCCAUAAAAGGUUUGUCCAUUUGUGAGGAUCUGGAAGAAAGUCAAAGUCCAUGUAACGCUCCCUUGGAAAAUUCUAAAUGGCUUGAGAUGAUGGUGCAGGCAGUUAUUUCCUGUGUUACAAUAGGAAAUGUUAAGAUCCAGGUACUAACAGUUGGCGUUGACAUGGUUCCUACCUUUCAGUGUUGGUUUAGAGUGGGAUAAGCUUACUGUCGUCCGAGAUGGCUAGGACACGACGUUCGAGAGCAAGGGGUCGGGACCACGGGUCCGCUUCUAGAGUUCUAUCUUGGGAUCGAGGUCGACCCAGAUAUCAGGGGCAGGGUAGAGCAGCAGCCCCUAUUCGAGAUCAGGUCAGGGAUCCAACACCUGAUCCUAUUAUAGCUUCGAGGAUUGAGAUAGCUCCAGGUAUUCCGCCAUAUCAGUAGGUGGGCCAGGGGGCAGCCCAGGCUUCACCUGGCUUUAUAUCUUCUUCGGUUAUUCGGGAUACAUUAGUUCAGUUAUUGGGGUUAGUUAGCAGUCCACCGGUCGUGGGAGCUCAACCAGCAGCACAGGGUAGUAUUGAUUUAGGGGCACAGCCUGCGGCAGCGGCGCCUAGGGUAGAGGUUCCACCAACACCAGUAGUCUCACAGCCGCCAGUGGCCCAGCCACUUAUGUCUGCAGAGGAACAGAAGAUGCUGGAUCAAUAUUUGAGAUUGACUCCACCCAGAAAUCAUCCUUCUUUGAGGAGUGGUUUAAGUUGGUCUGCAUGUCUCUCGAGAAAUCACCUAACCAGUUUGAGGCUGAAUAUUACUCUUCUGUAAACCAUAGGAAAGAUGUCAUAUUCUGAGUGGUUAGGUCACUUAUUGAGGUGUAUGAAGCGCGCGAUCUUCACGCUGUUGUACAAAGGUUUCACAAACUAUCCAAUAUCCUAUAAGAGGUUUUCCAGUUUUGGGUCCUACUUUUUCUUGGUCGGUCUGGGGUGUGUGUAUUUUCUCCAGCUACUGCUUCUUGAGCUGGUUAGCCCUGUCCAGUCGAGGUUGUACCUUAGAUCUGUAAUUUUGCCAUUUGACACCAAUGACAACCUGUAGAGUACUCUGUCGAACAAAAUGGUGGUUGUCUUUGGAUGUGCAUUUCUAUCGGAAGUCCCAAGUGGUUGUCUUAAGCGAAAGGAUGAGCACAAAAGCUUCCAAUGAAUACUUGUAGAUUAGUCUGGAACAAAAUGGUCUUCUUCUUUGGAUGGGCAUUUCCAAGGGAAGUUGUGAAUGGUAGCCAUUAGCAAAAUGACGAGCACAAAAACUCAGUAUGCUAACCUGUAAAUUAGCUGGAUGAUCAUCUCAAAGGACUCUUGAAUGGUCGUAGCAACAGGAUGGGCUGAAAAAUUUCCGAGCAUCCUCUUAUCUUUGACUUGCUCGAAAGGCUGAGUAUCUGGCUAUUCGAUCCAUGGACAUUUCAGUAGUUGCGCAAGAGAAACUUGUAUUUGCUCUCUAUUGUGUCAAAACUAUUAAGCAUGGAGGAAUAUGUUAGUAUCUGGAGGUUGUACUGCAUUUGUUGUGCUUUCUAUGUAUAACAAUGAGAGUUCUCAGUUCCUGUGCAAAAUAUUUUGACACUUGGACCACAUUUCGCCGUGAUAUUACCUAUUUUCCAUUUUUUUUUACAGUAAUCAUAGGCAGGAAUACCCAAUUGGCAUAUCGUUAAAAACUUGCAUGAUACAUUAUCAUUUUCGAAGGUGUGUUUGGUAUGAGAGAGAUUACUCUAAGAAAAUGUUUUUCAUCAGGAAGUCUUGUAUCUUUCAAAUGACACA